rnacentral:tRNA from 1 species
GAGGCUGUAGCUCAGUGGCCGAGCGCCGGGAUAUCCCGGAGGUCGCAGGUUCAAUUCCUGCCAGUUUCACCA